AUUGAACGCUGGCGGCAGGCCUAACACAUGCAAGUCGAGCGGUAGCACAGAGAGCUUGCUCUCGGGUGACGAGCGGCGGACGGGUGAGUAAUGUCUGGGAAACUGCCAGAUGGAGGGGGAUAACUACUGGAAACGGUAGCUAAUACCGCAUAAUGUCGCAAGACCAAAGUGGGGGGCCUUCGGGCCUCAUGCCAUCAGAUGUGCCCAGAUGGGAUUAGCUAGUAGGUGGGGUAACGGCUCACCUAGGCGACGAUCCCUAGCUGGUCUGGGAGGAAGACCAGCCACACUGGAGCGGAGACACGGUCCAGACUCCUACGGGAGGCAGCAGUGGGGAAUAUUGCACAAUGGGCGCAAGCCUGAUGCAGCCAUGCCGCAUGUGUGAAGAAGGCCUUCGGGUUGUAAAGCACUUUCAGCGAGGAGGAAGGCGGUGAGGUUAAUAACCUCAUCGAUUGACGUUACCCGCAGAAGAAGCACCGGCUAACUCCGUGCCAGCCGCCGCCGUAA
rnacentral:rRNA from 1 species